AUAGUUACCUGGACGGGGUCAAUGGGCGAUCAUGAAGGCCCAUGGCCUAAAUUGACCUCCAUUGCACUUUGGAGGGGUGCUAGCCUAAGGUCAGCCCAAGUAGCCGAGCCUACGUCAUAAUC
rnacentral:snRNA from 1 species